rnacentral:rRNA from 1 species
UACGUAGGGCGCAAGCGUUGUCCGGAAUUAUUGGGCGUAAAGAGCUCGUAGGCGGUCUGUCGCGUCCGUUGUGAAAACUCGAGGCUCAACCUCGGGCUUGCAGUGGAUACGGGCAGACUAGAGUGCGGUAGGGGAGACUGGAAUUCCUGGUGUAGCGGUGGAGUGCGCAGAUAUCAGGAGGAACACCGAUGGCGAAGGCAGGUCUCUGGGCCGCAACUGACGCUGAGGAGCGAAAGCAUGGGGAGCGAACAGG